rnacentral:rRNA from 1 species
AUGUCUUCCUCAAGCUCCCGCGCCACCUCGCGGAUGCAGAGCCGAGUGCGUGUGGACAUGCUUGUCUUCGUCUGUCCGCGGUGCCGGGCGGGCGUUGAUCGGAGGGUUUCUCACACAUCGAGGAACCAGAAUCGUCCGUUCUACGUGUGCAGCGAGAAUGGGGUGACAUGCUUCUUUCUUUGGGUCGAUGCUCUGGCCAAGACUCUGAUGAAUGAACUGCAAGAAGAUCAUGAAGAAUGGUUGCGCAUGCUGCCACAAACGGCAGGGGCCACAGCACGAGCUCCGGAAGAAGAGAUGGAGGGCGAAGCACGAUCUGACAGAGAGCUAGCUGUUGAGCUUAGGAUGUUGAAGAAUAAGGUUAGGAAGCUUGAAGAUCAAGCAUAAAUACCAAUACCCAUUUGCAAUUACUUUUGGGCAUUUAUAGGUAUGGUAAUCGCACAGGGUGUAAUGUUGAAAUUGUAUGGAAAGGCAUGA